rnacentral:rRNA from 1 species
ACACGAGUGGCGAACGGGUGAGUAACACGUGAGCAACCUGCCUCUGACUUUGGGAUAACAGUAGGAAACUGCUGCUAAUACCGGAUAUCACCUCCUUCUGCAUGGUGGGGGGUUGAAAGCUUUUGCGGUCAGGGAUGGGCUCGCGGCCUAUCAGCUUGUUGGUGAGGUAACGGCUCACCAAGGCUUCGACGGGUAGCCGGCCUGAGAGGGCGACCGGCCACACUGGGACUGAGAUACGGCCCAGACUCCUACGGGAGGCAGCAGUGGGGAAUAUUGCACAAUGGGCGGAAGCCUGAUGCAGCAACGCCGCGUGCGGGAUGACGGCCUUCGGGUUGUAAACCGCUUUCACUCAUGACGAAGCGCAAGUGACGGUAGUGAGAGAAGAAGCACCGGCCAACUACGUGCCAGCAGCCGCGGUGAUACGUAGGGUGCGAGCGUUGUCCGGAAUUAUUGGGCGUAAAGAGCUCGUAGGCGGUCUGUCACGUCGGAAGUGAAAACUCAGGGCUCAACCCUGAGCCUGCUUCCGAUACGGGCAGACUUGAGGAAGGUAGGGGAGAACGGAAUUCCUGGUGGAGCGGUGGAAUGCUCAGAUAUCAGGAGGAACACCGGUGGCGAAGGCGGUUCUCUGGACCUUUCCUGACGCUGAGGAGCGAAAGCGUGGGGAGCAAACAGGCUUAGAUACCCUGGUAGUCCACGCCGUAAACGGUGGGCACUAGGUGUGGGGGACAUUCCACGUUCUCCGUGCCGUAGCUAACGCAUUAAGUGCCCCGCCUGGGGAGUACGGCCGCAAGGCUAAAACUCAAAGGAAUUGACGGGGGCCCGCACAAGCGGCGGAGCAUGCGGAUUAAUUCGAUGCAACGCGAGAACCUUUACCUGGGUUUGACAUAUGCCGGAAGCUGCAGAGAUGUAGCCCCCCGCAGGUCGGUAUACAGUGGGUGCAUGGCUGUCGUCAGCUCGUGUCGUGAGAUGUUGGGG